rnacentral:rRNA from 1 species
AUAGCUCACUAGUCGAGUCGGCCUGCGCGGAAGAUUUACCGGGGCUAAACUGAUAACCGAAGCUGUGGGAGCAUCCUUUAGGGUGCUCGGUAGAGGAGCGUUCUGUAAGCGGUUGAAGCUGUGUCGUAAGGCAUGGUGGACGUAUCAGAAGUGCGAAUGCUGACAUGAGUAGCGUUAAAGGGGGUGAAAAGCCCCCUCGCCGAAAGCGCAAGGUUUCCUACGCAACGUUCAUCGGCGUAGGGUGAGUCGGCCCCUAAGGCGAGGCAGAGAUGCGUAGCUGAUGGGAAACAGGUCAAUAUUCCUGUACCGAUCAAUAGUGCGAUGUGGGGACGGAGAAGGUUAGCUCAGCCGGGUGUUGGAUGUCCCGGUUCAAGCCUGUAGUCGUGCCUGGUAGGCAAAUCCGCCGGGCUUAGAUGAGGGGUGAUAACGAGGAGGCUUGCCUCCGAAGUGAGUGAUACCCUGCUUCCAGGAAAAGCCACUAAGCUUCAGCUAUUGACGACCGUACCGCAAACCGACACUGGUGCGCGAGAUGAGUAUUCUAAGGCGCUUGAGAGAACUCUGGAGAAGGAACUCGGCAAAUUGACACCGUAACUUCGGAAGAAGGUGUGCCUUUAGUAGGUGUAGUUGUACAAACGAAGCCCAAUGAGGCCGCAGAGAAUCGGUGGCUGCAACUGUUUAUUAAAAACACAGCACUCUGCAAAGACGAAAGUCGACGUAUAGGGUGUGACUCCUGCCCGGUGCUGGAAGAUUAAAUGAUGGGGUGCAAGCUCUUGACUGAAGUCCCAGUAAACGGCGGCCGUAACUAUAACGGUCCUAAGG